rnacentral:rRNA from 1 species
CUACGGGUCGCAGCAGUGAGGAAUAUUGGUCAAUGGGCGCGAGCCUGAACCAGCCAUCCCGCGUGCAGGAUGACGGCCCUAUGGGUUGUAAACUGCUUUUCUAUGCCAAGAAACCUGAUUACGUGUAAUCAGUUGCCGGUAGCAUAGGAAUAAGCAUCGGCUAACUCCGUGCCAGCAGCCGCGGUAAUACGGAGGAUGCAAGCGUUAUCCGGAUUCAUUGGGUUUAAAGGGUGCGCAGGUGGGCUUGUAAGUCAGUGGUGAAAUGCUGCCGCUUAACGGUAGAACUGCCAUUGAUACUGCGAGUCUUGAGUAUGGUUGAGGUAGGCGGAAUGUGUUGUGUAGCGGUGAAAUGCAUAGAUAUGACACAGAACGCCAAUUGCGAAGGCAGCUUACUAAGCCAUUACUGACGCUGAGGUACGAAAGCGUGGGGAGCGAACAGGAUUAGAUACCCCAGUAGUC